UCUUUACUGAUAUGGAUGCCCUUUGUUUUUUUCUCUUGUCUGAUUGCUCUGGCUAGGACUUCCAGUACUAUGUUGAAUAGAAGUGAAAGUGAGCAUCCUUGUCUUGUUCCAGUUCUCAGAGGCAAUCCUUUCAGCUUUCCUCAUUCAACAUAAUGUUGGCUGUGGCUUUGUUCAUAGAUC